rnacentral:rRNA from 1 species
CAGAGGAGCCAAGCGUUGUCCGGAUUGACUGGGCGUAAAGCGCACGCAGGCGGACGCGCGCGUGGGGUGUGAAAUCUGGCCGCUUAACGGCCAGGCGCCAUCCCAUACGGCGCGUCUGGAGCCUUGCAGAGGUCGGUGGAAUUGCCGGUGUAGUGGUGAAAUGCGUAGAGAUCGGCAGGAACACCCAGGGGGAAACCAGCCGACUGGGCAAGUGCUGACGCUGAGGUGCGAGAGCGUGGGGAGCGAACCGGAUUAGAUACCCGGGUAGUCCACGCCGUAAACGAUGGCCACUCGGCCUUUGGGGGCGGAUCAUCCGUCUGUGGGGGCCUUAGCAAACGCGGGAAGUGGCCCGCCUGGGAACUACGAGCGCAAGCUUA